GACGAGGGAUCCUAGCGUUGUUCGGAAUCACUGGGCGUAAAGGGCGUGUAGGCGGUUUCGUAUGUCUGGCGUGAAAGCCCCGGGCUCAACCCGGGAAGUGCGUUGGAAACUGCGAAACUAGAGUCUCGGAGAGGAAGGUGGAAUUCCAGGUGUAGCGGUGAAAUGCGUAGAUAUCUGGAAGAACACCGGUGGCGAAGGCGGCCUUCUGGACGAUGACUGACGCUGAGACGCGAAAGCGUGGGGAGCAAACAGG
rnacentral:rRNA from 1 species